CUCCUAAAGUGAAGCUUUCAGGAGUGUUAUGGGUUGUGUUUAAAGUAGAUUUGAACAUCCAUUGGACUAUGGUUUUGGUCUUUAAGAUUUCAAGAAAUUGUGGUGGUGUUGGUGAUUUUGUUGGUGUUGAAUUACUUGGGUCAAGAGAAGUUAGAGG